GGAAACGCACGGCGGUCGGAGCUGCUCACGACGGAAGCGGUGAUUGUUGGUGUUGUCGGAGAUGGUCAUGGUGGUGUGGGAAAUUUUGCUUUCUCUGGCAAUCGAGAAUGAUUUUCACAAUGGUUGUUUUAGGUGAGAUUUGGAGAGUAUAACAAGUGUGGUCUUGUGGUGAUUUUAUGUGAGAUUUUGAGAGUUUAUGGUGAAGGAGAUGAUUAUGUAGAUGAAGAGAUUAUGUUGGUUGUGAGGUAGUGUGAAGGUUAGCAUGGAGAUGGUGAUGAAUAGUAGGGAUGAGAAGAAGAGCUUGUUUAUGGUAAAAGGAGUAAGUGUAGUGUGUUUUAAUUGGUGAAGAGAGUGAAGUUUAUGAAGAUGUGUGGUAGAGGUGAGUUUGGAAUGUGGUGUUG
rnacentral:lncRNA from 1 species